AUUGAACGCUGGCGGCAUGCCUUACACAUGCAAGUCGAACGGUAACAGGUCUCCGGAUGCUGACGAGUGGCGAACGGGUGAGUAAUACAUCGGAACGUGCCUAGUAGUGGGGGAUAACUACUCGAAAGAGUGGCUAAUACCGCAUGAGAUCUACGGAUGAAUGCAGGGGAUGGCAAGACCUUGUGCUACUAGAGCGGCCGAUGGCAGAUUAGGUAGUUGGUGGGAUAAAAGCUUACUAAGCCGACGAUCUGUAGCUGGUCUGAGAGGACGAUCAGCCACACUGGGACUGAGACACGGCCCAGACUCCUACGGGAGGCAGCAGUGGGGAAUUUUGGACAAUGGGCGAAAGCCUGAUCCAGCAAUGCCGCGUGCAGGAUGAAGGCCUUCGGGUUGUAAACUGCUUUUGUACGGAACGAAAAGCCCCGGGUUAAUACCCUGGGGUCAUGACGGUACCGUAAGAAUAAGCACCGGCUAACUACGUGCCAGCAGCCGCCGUAA
rnacentral:rRNA from 1 species